UACGAGGGGGGCAAGCGUUGUUCGGAAUUAUUGGGCGUAAAGGGUGCGUAGGCGGUCUGACAAGUCUGAUGUGAAAUCUAUGGGCUCAACCCAUAGUCUGCAUCGGAAACUGUCGGGCUUGAGUAUGGGGAGAGGUGAGUGGAAUUUCCGGUGUAGCGGUGAAAUGCGUAGAUAUCAGGAGGAACACCGGCGGCGAAGGCGGCUCUCUGGACCGGAUG
rnacentral:rRNA from 1 species